ensembl:lncRNA
GAGUGAAAGAGGUGUUCCUAAUAAACUGGCUCCUCCCUCACAGCUGUUUGCAGACUAAGAAGUGAGCUCUGGGUGUUUUGUAAAUACAGAGUCUAAGCCCGUCUUACUCAGUCCUCCUCUAUCGUGCAGACACUGAUCACAACCUCAGCAGCAGCUCAGCACUGAAAUGUGGAUCGUCUCCUGCGUCCUCAUUGGCUCUCUGGCCUUUUCUUUGCCAGACAAUCACAAUCACACCACCACACCUCCACCUACAUCUGCCUCCAUCACUCCUUCUCCAUCACUCAUUCCUGUGUUGUCAUCUAUUGGAUCAGUAUGUGCUGUGGUUUUGCUUAUGUUAGUGGUUCUGGUGGUGAAACGAUGGGUAUGUGGAAAACCCAAAGAGGAUGCAGAAGAAGUUAGAGAAAAUGUCAUCACAGAUGGCGUCAUAUACAGUGAAAUCAUAACCUCAAAUUAUCAACAGCAGCCAGCCAGACAGAGCCCAGAGAGCGAUCCAGCUGCAGUCUACUCCACAGUGAGGAGGGACGACGUCACUUAUGGACGAAUCAUCAUCAAAGACAAGAAAAAACUGUCAAAGAGGAGAGAUUUUCUGGAGCCAGAGGUCAUUUACUCCAAUCUCCAAAGUAGUCGACCAGUCCAGCCAGUGGAGUCCAGCUGCUCUUCUCGUGUUGUCCUGUGGGUUUCAUGAAGAUGACUGAUGGAAAAUUUGAAUGGACUGAUAAAACAUCUGUCUUCAGUUCAGAUAGGAAACAAACAAAUUAACUGCAACCACAGACUAUAAACAGCAUGAGCAUCGCUGCAUUGUGUGAGUUACAAGCAGCAACUCAUAUGACAGUUUUCAGAAACCCAAUGAACUGUUUCAUUAUUAAAUUAAAAGCAUUCUGUGCUUUCAAACUCAAAAUCGUGAAAUUUGGUUUGAUGAAAAAGAAAACAUUUCAUCAUGUUUAGUCAGUUUAAUUGAAUUAAUUGUUUGAUUGAAAUAAUUCAACUCAGUCAAUUCAGUUCCAUUUGUAUGGCAAAUAAAAAGAUCACAGCAACAGUCGCCCCAAGGUGCUCAAACUGGACAGCUCCCCUGAUCCAGUCCAAAAAAUUAUAGAACCACAGUUAAUCAUGCUUCCAUCAGAUAGCAUGUAUUUUAAAUGUGAAACACAGAGACAACGAACACAAAGAAGAACAUAGACAUGACGUUAGUUUUGUGGUUUAUAAAGGCCUUCAGAGUCUGCUGCCAUCUACUGCUAAUACUGGGUAUUAGCAAAUGAAAAACUACUUAAUGUCUAUAUGUUGUGAUAUGUUUAUAGUUAGUUAUUCAGAGUGAAAAUGUUUUUAUUGUUGAUGAAGGAUUACCAGACUGAAAAUACAUCAUAUAAACACACAUUUUUCUGUAUCUCUCCCACAUGUGAUGAAUACCUGUUACUGCAGCGAUCCCCAACCUUUUUUGCGCCACGGACCGGUUUAUGCCCGACAAUAUUUUCACGGACCGGCCUUUAAUGUGUCGCGGAUAAAUACAACAAAAUAAAACUAGUACCGGUACCGAAAAAAAGAAGAUUUAUUCAUAACACACGUGAAAAGACCCAGGAAAACAGAGUUAACGAUCAAAACAGUAACAAAAUAAGGCUGAAAACUGAUAAAAACCUUGAAAACCAUACAUUUCACACCUGAGACUCUACUCUCGCGGCCCGGUACCAAACGACUCACGGACCGGUACCGGUCCGAGGCCCGCGAGUUGGGGACCACUGUGUUACUGGAUGAAUCUGAACAUUCUUUGUUUAAAUGUGACUCUUUGUUGGGGCAAAAUAAACAAAAGGAACUGAACUGUUAUCAAAUGUUGUUCCACAUUUUGCUUUAAGAUAAGUUUCUGGAUGACAUCCUACUGCCUGCUGAGGGUAAGUAUACAUGUAGGUGGGUUGGACAUUCUUUCUUUUAUUCCCAGUUCUAGGAAUGUUUGAAAUCUGGGAAUGAAAACUAAAAUAACUGGAACAGCAGCAGGAGACUGAGCUGGAGGCUGCUGUGAAUCCUAAAUCUGUUGUUUUUUAUGUUUUAUUUUUGUUUGACGAACAGCAAGGAGGCCACUAUCAAUCCAGCAGAUCCCUUUAACUCCUCUCCAAUAUUAACCUGUUUUAAUAGGCAGUGUUGGGGAUUAAAGGAAUACAUGUACCAGCGUUAUGUAUUUAAAACACAAAAUAUGAGUAACUGUAUUCCGUUCCAUUACCAUUUAAAUAGGUGAUAUUCAGAAUACAGUUACUUUGUUGAACUAAAUAGAAUACACGGUGGUCACUUCCUGUUCCAUAUGUUAGGCUAUCCCCUCUCUAUGCCUUCCAAUUUUUGUUUUUUGGGGUUUUUUUUGUUUUUUUUCCCUUCCCGUUUGGAAAGAUGCCCAACGGAUUUACUUUACUUUAACCCAGGAGAUGUUACCCUUUCCCCUGAGGUGGAGACAAGCAGAUCGCCCCCGGCUCAGUAGUAGCAGAGAGGCUCGCAUCCCAGAACCCAACCGGACGGCCAACACCUCCGCCCAGCCCUGAUGGCUAACAGAGAACGGGGGGGUGUGAAGACCCCAAACCUCCCUCCACCUGCUCGUAUGUAGUGUUGCUGCGUGCUGUUCUAAAUUUAAAACACGGGAGAGCAGCAGGUGUCAGCACAGCCCCUCCUGGAAACCCUCAAUGUCUACAUGGAUUUAAAAUUGAGAAAUGGGCACCAGCGCCAGAGGUGAUUUUCAAUACACAGACUGUCCUCUGGACGCCAUGUAAUGUGCCCAUCCAAAAGGCCCUAUAUGUAUGUGUUAUGAGAGUGUGAGUAAUGUGGAUGUCUAAGUUGUGGAAUAAAAUUGAGGCACAGGUGGCCAGAAGGGGACAGAGGGAGGACGCCUCCCCUGCACCCUGGUGACACACCUGCACCCCAAGGCCCUGCAUGUGUGGGUGGGUGUGGUGGCGCGGGAAGAGGGAGUCAGUUCU